rnacentral:rRNA from 2 species
AAAUUGAAGAGUUUGAUCAUGGCUCAGAUUGAACGCUGGCGGCAGGCCUAACACAUGCAAGUCGAACGGUAACAGGAAGCAGCUUGCUGCUUCGCUGACGAGUGGCGGACGGGUGAGUAAUGUCUGGGAAACUGCCUGAUGGAGGGGGAUAACUACUGGAAACGGUGGCUAAUACCGCAUAACGUCGCAAGACCAAAGAGGGGGACCUUCGGGCCUCUUGCCAUCAGAUGUGCCCAGAUGGGAUUAGCUUGUUGGUGAGGUAACGGCUCACCAAGGCGACGAUCCCUAGCUGGUCUGAGAGGAUGACCAGCCACACUGGAACUGAGACACGGUCCAGACUCCUACGGGAGGCAGCAGUGGGGAAUAUUGCACAAUGGGCGCAAGCCUGAUGCAGCCAUGCCGCGUGUAUGAAGAAGGCCUUCGGGUUGUAAAGUACUUUCAGCGGGGAGGAAGGUGUUGUGGUUAAUA